GCUUUAUAUUGGAGAAAAAAAUUCUUAGAACCUAUGUUAGUUGGACUUGGGUAUGAGAUCCAGUACGGGUAUGUGCCCAAGAGUUAGAAAUACCAAAAUUUUAUAGACUUCCCCACUAAUUUGAAGUGUUAAAUAAUCGUACUCAAGUUUAUAUAAUAUGAUUACUUGAAGGUAAAAUGAAAUGGUUAGAACUUACUCCCUUUGAUGUGGUAUGCAGGUUGGGCCCAUUCAUGUCAUCCAUGGAAAGUUGGAAACAUACAUUUAAAUGAAUAUUAUUGUUAAUGCAGAUGCUUACUCUUAAAUAAAUUUUAUCUUGAAUCUUUUUGACUGGGUCUGAUCCACUUUUUAUUUUUAUUUUUUUUACUGUUGAAUCUUGUAACAGUGUAAUUUCUGUCUAUUUGCUGCCUUGAUUACAUCUUUUUCAUUUUCUUUUUCUUUUUCUA
rnacentral:misc_RNA from 1 species